rnacentral:rRNA from 1 species
AUGCCUCCCACGCCGCCGCCGGAGACGGACGCCGAGCCGGAGUUCGCCGAGAUCGACCCCACCGGCCGCUACGGACGGUACACGGAGGUUCUUGGCAAGGGCGCGUUCAAGACGGUCUACAAGGCUUUUGAUCAACUGGAAGGGCUAGAAGUUGCCUGGAACCAAAUCAAAGUGGGUGAUAUAUUACGGAACAAUGAUGAUUUGGAGAGGCUGAGAUCAGAAGUGCGGUUGCUUAAGACGCUCAAGCACAAGAACAUAAUCAAGUUCUACAAUUCAUGGCUCGACAAGAAAAACAACAACAUAAACUUCAUCACAGAAGUCUUCACAUCAGGAACAUUGCGCCAGUACCGUAUUAAGCACAAGAAGGUAGACAUUAGAGCUUUGAAGAAAUGGUCAAGGCAAAUCUUGAGUGGUCUAGUGUACCUCCACGGCCAUGAUCCACCAAUAAUCCAUAGAGAUUUGAAAUGUGAUAACAUAUUUGUGAAUGGAAACCAGGGUGAAGUAAAGAUUGGAGACCUGGGAUUAGCAACCAUCCUAGACAAUGCACGCUCAGCUCAUAGCAUCAUUGGUAACCGAUUCAGCACACCGGAAUUCAUGGCGCCAGAACUCUAUGAUGAAGAAUACAAUGAGCUUGUAGACAUUUAUGCAUUUGGGAUGUGUUUACUGGAGCUUGUUACAUUUGAGUACCCAUAUUGUGAAUGCUCCAAUGCAGCACAGAUAUACAAGAAAGUUUCUGAUGGUGAAAGGCCCGGUUCACUGGCUAAGAUUGAGGAUCCUGAAGUUAAAUUCUUUAUAGAGAAAUGCAUAGCCCAAGCUUCCCAAAGGCUCUCAGCAGAAGAACUGUUAGUGGAUCCUUUUCUCCUAGAUGUUGAUGAUGAAAGAAUCUUCUAUCCAGUACAGUCAAAUACGAAUGCAUCAGAUGCUGGUGGCAGUUCGAACCCAAGUGCGAAUUACAGAACAGCAUCAUCUGUUGGCUCCCGGGGACGAACGGGUAGCACGGGGGGAUCACAUCCAAGUGAUAUGCACAGCAAUAGGGAUCGACAUGCUGGGACUAGUCGAAUGAUCACCGUUGAGAGUCAGCGGAAGGACCUAAAUACAAUAUUUUUGAAACUGCGGAUUGCCGAUUCAACAGGUCAUGCCCAAAACAUCCAUUUUCCAUUUGAUAUUGAAGCUGACACUUCAAUUAGUGUUGCUACGGAGAUGGUUGUACAGCUGGAUCUCACGGACCAAGAUGUUACUGCGAUUGCAGAAAUGAUAGAUUCUGAAAUACAGGCACAUAUUCCUGAAUGGGCGUUUGAUGAAUCAGUUGACAACCAAGGGGAUGAAGGAGCUCAUUCUGAGACUGAUAAUUCAGAAUCCGAUAACGGUGAGACUUCUGAGCUUCGUAACGAGGUUGAUGCAACAAACAAUGGUUUUACACAAGAGCAGCUUCCUUCUGGCCGGAAAUACUGGUCAGACUCACCCAGAAGAGAUAUUGAAAUCUCUCACUCGGUGGAGGACCAACAGACUGAUGAUAAUAUGCCAAAUGGGAUAUUGAAAAACAAUAAUGUAGACGGUAUGUGUGAGCGAAUGUCAUCAUCAGUGCACUUGUCGAACCCGGAUGUGGUCAACAGGAACUCGGGAGGAGCUUCUGCUGGCACUAGCUCUCGUCUUUCAGAUGGCGGUUAUCUCACAGCAGAUCUUAAUGAAAAGUUGGCAGAUUUGUUAGCCAAUCAGAAAGAGGAGCUCAGUGCGCUGCGAAGAAAACACAAGGCUGACAUAGAGGUGGUCUUAAAUGGGGUGCCUGCACAACAUCGCGAGGAGACCUUAACCAGGUGCCGCUUGAAGGCAGAUCAGAAAAAGUUAUGA